AGACCCUGCAGGGGUAUUCUGUGUGUAAUUAAAGUUCAAUUUACAGAAUAGGAGAUAAGAACCUUUCAAGUAAGUUACAUCUAAUUGAAAAUUAAACCAUUUUCACACCAGGUGAGGUGUGGCUAGGGCUGCAUAAACAGAAACAGAGGUGAUUUAACUCCUAAAUGGCAGAGAAUUGAACACAAUACAACUUCAGAGGCAUGAUCUAUACCUAAAACUGCUUCAAGUUGUAUUUUUGACGACAGUGUCUCUUUAAGGAAAGAAAAUGCUACUAUAAG